rnacentral:rRNA from 1 species
CUGGAAACGGUGGCUAAUACCGCAUAACGUCGCAAGACCAAAGAGGGGGACCUUCGGGCCUCUUGCCAUCAGAUGUGCCCAGAUGGGAUUAGCUUGUUGGUGAGGUAACGGCUCACCAAGGCGACGAUCCCUAGCUGGUCUGAGAGGAUGACCAGCCACACUGGAACUGAGACACGGUCCAGACUCCUACGGGAGGCAGCAGUGGGGAAUAUUGCACAAUGGGCGCAAGCCUGAUGCAGCCAUGCCGCGUGUAUGAAGAAGGCCUUCGGGUUGUAAAGUACUUUCAGCGGGGAGGAAGGUGUUGUGGUUAAUAACCGCAGCAAUUGACGUUACCCGCAGAAGAAGCACCGGCUAACUCCGUGCCAGCAGCCGCGGUAAUACGGAGGGUGCAAGCGUUAAUCGGAAUUACUGGGCGUAAAGCGCACGCAGGCGGUCUGUCAAGUCGGAUGUGAAAUCCCCGGGCUCAACCU